rnacentral:rRNA from 1 species
UACGUAGGGCGCAAGCGUUAUCCGGAAUUAUUGGGCGUAAAGAGCUCGUAGGCGGUUUGUCGCGUCUGCCGUGAAAGUCCGGGGCUUAACCCCGGAUCUGCGGUGGGUACGGGCAGACUAGAGUGCAGUAGGGGAGACUGGAAUUCCUGGUGUAGCGGUGAAAUGCGCAGAUAUCAGGAGGAACACCGAUGGCGAAGGCAGGUCUCUGGGCUGUAACUGACGCUGAGGAGCGAAGCAUGGGGAGCGAACAGG